GAGCUCGCGUCCGAUUAGUUAGUUGGUGGGGUAAGAGCCUACCAAGGCGGCGAUCGGUAGCUGGUCUGAGAGGAUGAGCAGCCACACUGGGACUGAAACACGGCCCAGACUCCUACGGGAGGCAGCAGUGGGGAAUUUUCCGCAAUGGGCGCAAGCCUGACGGAGCAAUACCGCGUGAGGGAGGAAGGCUUUUGGGUUGUAAACCUCUUUUCUCAAGGAAAAAGACAGUGACGGUACUUGAGGAAUCAGCAUCGGCUAACUCCGUGCCAGCAGCCGCGGUAAUACGGAGGAUGCAAGCGUUAUCCGGAAUCAUUGGGCGUAAAGCGUCCGCAGGUGGCCUGUCAAGUCUGCUGUCAAAGACUAGAGCUCAACUCUGGAAAGGCAGUGGAAACUGGGAGGCUAGAGUACGGUAGGGGUAGAGGGAAUUCCCAGUGUAGCGGUGAAAUGCGUAGAUAUUGGGAAGAACACCAGUGGCGAAGGCGCUCUACUGGGCCGUAACUGACACUCAGGGACGAAAGCUAGGGUAGCGAAUGGGAUUAGAUACCCCAGGUAUUUCACAC
rnacentral:rRNA from 1 species